CAGUGCAAUAAUGAAAGGGCAUC
rnacentral:ncRNA from 3 species